rnacentral:rRNA from 1 species
UGCAAGUCGAGCGGUAACAGAAAGUAGCUUGCUACUUUGCUGACGAGCGGCGGACGGGUGAGUAAUGCUUGGGAACAUGCCUUGAGGUGGGGGACAACAGUUGGAAACGACUGCUAAUACCGCAUAAUGUCUACGGACCAAAGGGGGCUUCGGCUCUCGCCUUUAGAUUGGCCCAAGUGGGAUUAGCUAGUUGGUGAGGUAAUGGCUCACCAAGGCAACGAUCCCUAGCUGGUUUGAGAGGAUGAUCAGCCACACUGGAACUGAGACACGGUCCAGACUCCUACGGGAGGCAGCAGUGGGGAAUAUUGCACAAUGGGCGAAAGCCUGAUGCAGCCAUGCCGCGUGUGUGAAGAAGGCCUUCGGGUUGUAAAGCACUUUCAGUCAGGAGGAAAGGGUGUGAGUUAAUACCUCACAUCUGUGACGUUACUGACAGAAGAAGCACCGGCUAACUCCGUGCCAGCAGCCGCGGUAAUACGGAGGGUGCGAGCGUUAAUCGGAAUUACUGGGCGUAAAGCGUACGCAGGCGGUUUGUUAAGCGAGAUGUGAAAGCCCCGGGCUCAACCUGGGAACUGCAUUUCGAACUGGCAAACUAGAGUGUGAUAGAGGGUGGUAGAAUUUCAGGUGUAGCGGUGAAAUGCGUAGAGAUCUGA